rnacentral:lncRNA from 1 species
AGCAGCCCCACCCUCAGCUGAAAGCCGGCGUUCACACAAACACACGUGCAGGAACAUUCGCAUCAGCCAGCAGCGGGGAGCCCCCCAGACACCACCAAUGGCGAGGACGCGUGAACAGGACGUGCUCAUCCAUGCACUGGAGCGACUAGUGACGAGGACAGGGACCCAGAACCCACGCAGGCUACGGCGUGAUGAAGCUGGAAGGCAUCUCGCUCCGUGGAUAAGCCAGACGCGAAAGGCCGCUGGAAACUCAGAGGGUCCAGAGGGUCCACCUGACUUCAUUUCAAUGACGAC